rnacentral:rRNA from 1 species
CACGUAGGGCGCAAGCGUUUGUCCGGAAUUAUUGGGCGUAAAGAGCUCGUAGGCGGUCUGUUGCGUCUGCUGUGAAAACUCGGGGCUUAACCCCGAGCCUGCAGUGGAUACGGGCAGACUAGAGGUAGGUAGGGGAGAAUGGAAUUCCCGGUGUAGCGGUGAAAUGCGCAGAUAUCGGGAGGAACACCGGUGGCGAAGGCGGGUCUCUGGACAGUUCCUGACGCUGAGGCACGAAGGCCAGGGGAGCAAACGGG